AUUGAACGCUGGCGGCAGGCCUAACACAUGCAAGUCGAGCGGCAGAAGAGUACUAGCUUGUGCAUACAGCGGCCGACGGGCGAGUGAUGCCUAGGAACAUCCCUGGCAGCGGGGGCGAACGGCAGGACGCAGGCGCUCAUACCGCAUAACUCCUGACGGAGAACGUGGGGAAGCAUCGGAUCUUCCGACCUCAGACGAGCCGAGGACGGAUUAGCUAGUUGGCGGGGUAAAGGCCUACCAAGGCGACGAUCCGUAGCUGGUCUGAGAGGAUGAUCAGCCACACUGGAACUGAGACACGGUCCAGACUCCUACGGGAGGCAGCAGUGGGGAAUAUUGGACAAUGGGCGAAAGCCUGAUCCAGCCAUGCCGCGUGUGUGAAGAAGGCCUUCGGGUUGUAAAGCCCUUUUGUUUGGAAAGAAGAGCAGUAGGUUAAUACCUUGCUGUUUUGACGUUACCAACAGAAUAAGCACCGGCUAACUUCGUG
rnacentral:rRNA from 1 species